UCCGGUUUAUCACCGGCAGUCUCCUUUGAGUUCCCGACGUUCUCGCUGGCAACAAAGGAUAAGGGUUGCGCUCGUUGCGGGACUUAACCCAACAUUUCACAACACGAGCUGACGACAGCCAUGCAGCACCUGUCUCAGAGUUCCCUAAGGCACUUUUCCGUUUCUGGAAAAUACUCUGGAUGUCAAGAGUAGGUAAGGUUCUUCGCGUUGCAUCGAAUUAAACCACAUGCUCCACCGCUUGUGCGGGCCCCCGUCAAUUCAUUUGAGUUUUAACCUUGCGGCCGUACUCCCCAGGCGGUCGAUUUAACGCGUUAGCUUCGGAAGCCGCGUCUCAAGGAGACAGCCUCCAAAUCGACAUCGUUUACAGCAUGGACUAC
rnacentral:misc_RNA from 1 species